UGGGGAAUAUUGCACAAUGGGCGCAAGCCUGAUGCAGCCAUGCCGCGUGUAUGAAGAAGGCCUUCGGGUUGUAAAGUACUUUCAGCGGGGAGGAAGGGAGUAAAGUUAAUACCUUUGCUCAUUGACGUUACCCGCAGAAGAAGCACCGGCUAACUCCGUGCCAGCAGCCGCGGUAAUACGGAGGGUGCAAGCGUUAAUCGGAAUUACUGGGCGUAAAGCGCACGCAGGCGGUUUGUUAAGUCAGAUGUGAAAUCCUCGGGCUCAACCUGGGAACUGCAUCUGAAACUGGCAAGCUUGAGUCUCGUAGAGGGGGGUAGAAUUCCAGGUGUAGCGAUGAAAUGCGUAGAGAUCUGGAGGAAUACCGGUGGCGAAGGCGGCCCCCUGGACGAAGACUGACGCUCAGGUGCGAAAGCGUGGGGAGCAAACAGG
rnacentral:rRNA from 1 species